GAGAAAGGUCAUAUCAUAUAUUUUAUCAGCUCUGUGCAGGAGCUCCAGGAGCUCUCAAAGAAAAAUUAAAUUUGAAGGAUGUGAGUGAGUAUAACUAUUUGAGGCAAAGCAAUUGCCACUCAAUUUCUGGGGUUGAUGAUGCAGAACAAUUUCGUAUUGUAAUGGAAGCACUCGAUGUUGUCCAUAUCAGCAAGGAGGAUCAAGAAAGUGUUUUUUCGAUGCUAGCUGCAGUUUUAUGGCUUGGAAAUAUCUCUUUUACAGCCGUCGAUAAUGAAAACCAUGCUGAGCCAGUUGUGGGUGAAGGCCUAGCAACUGUUUCAACUUUAAUCGGGUGUGGUGUGGACGAGCUAAAACUAGCUUUAUCAACUCGAAAAAUGAGAGUAAGAAAUGAUGAUAUUGUCCAAAAGCUAACACUAUCUCAGGCUACUGACACAAGAGAUGCAUUGGCAAAAUCUAUUUAUUCUUGUCUGUUUGACUGGCUCGUUGAACAAAUAAACAAGUCACUUGCAGUAGGCAAACGUCGAACCGGAAGAUCUAUCAGCAUUCUUGAUAUUUAUGGUUUUGAAUCAUUCGAGAGGAACAGCUUUGAGCAGUUCUGCAUUAAUUAUGCCAAUGAAAGGUUGCAACAACACUUUAACCGUCACUUGUUCAAGUUGGAACAGGAGGAGUAUAUUCAAG
rnacentral:misc_RNA from 1 species